AUAUUUAAAUGGCUGCAGUAUAUUAACUGUGCUAAGGUAGCAUAAUAAUUAGUUUAUUAAUUGUAAACUGGAAUGAAUGAUUUAAUAAAAUAAAUACUUUUUUAAUUUAAUUUAUUUAAUUUAAUAAGUUAGUAAAAAUGCUGAUAUGAUUUAGAAAGACGAUAAGACCCUAUAAAAUUUUAUAAAAUAAAAUAGAUAAUUAAAUAUUUUAUACAUAAUUAUUUAUAUUUUUAUUUAAUUGGGGUGAUUUUAUUAUUUAAUAAAUUAAUAAAUUUAAUAAACAUUAAAUUAUGAGCUAACGAUCCAAAAAUUUUGAUUAAUUGAUUAAAUUACUUUAGGGAUAACAGCGUAAUGACUUAUUUAAGUUCCUAUAAAUUAAGUUUUUUGCGACCUCGAUGUUGAAUUAAGAUUAAUUUUA
rnacentral:rRNA from 1 species